rnacentral:rRNA from 1 species
AUGCGACACCGGGCGCGAGACGAGCGCAGUCUUGCCGCCGGGCGCGAGACGGGCCGGUCCUGCUGCCGGGCGCGAGACCAGCUCGGUCUUACGGCACCGGGUGCGAGACGGUCGAUGGACAGCAGCCGGGAGAAGGCCAGCCCACCGGCGAGAGAAGCGAACGGACGCCGAGGAGAGGAGUCGAAGGCCGAUACAGGCAGCCUACAGACGAGCCGACGCCAGAACAAUCUGGCCACCGCCGCAAUCAACCUGCCACCACCACGGCAGCCGCCGGGCACGCACCCGCGCAGCCACCGCCACUGCGCCGCCACCCUGACCAGCCGAGGGGGCCUCGGUCAGGGCCGCCGGCGGCAGCCCUAG